rnacentral:rRNA from 1 species
GACGAACGCUGGCAGCGUGCUUAACACAUGCCAGUCGAACGGAAAGGCCCCCACUUUUUUGGUGGGGGUGCUCGAGUGGCGAACGGGUGAGUAACACGUGGGUGAUCUGCCCUGUACUUCGGGAUAAGCUUGGGAAACUGGGUCUAAUACCGGAUAGGACCAUGGUUUAGUGUCUCAUGGUGGAAAAAUUAUUGUUUUGGUGCAGGAUGAGCUCGCGGCCUAUCAGCUUGUUGGUGGGGUAAUGGCCUACCAAGGCGUCGACGGGUAGCCGGCCUGAGAGGGUGGACGGCCACAUUGGGACUGAGAUACGGCCCAGACUCCUACGGGAGGCAGCAGUGGGGAAUAUUGCACAAUGGGCGCAAGCCUGAUGCAGCGACGCCGCGUGGGGGAUGACGGCCUUCGGGUUGUAAACUCCUUUCGUUAGGGACGAAGCCGCACCUUUUUUGGGUGUGGUGACGGUACCUUUGUUAAGAAGCACCGGCUAACUACGUG